rnacentral:misc_RNA from 1 species
GUGAAUCAUCAAAUUUUUGAACGCAAAUUGCACUCUCCGCUGAUAGUAUGCCUGUUUGAGGUUCAGCCUAUAAAAAUCGACAUCGUUUCGGUUUCUCGGUGGCGUUCUUCUGAAAUUGUGUCAUCUUAAAUCCUUUUGAUUUAUGCGACUUAAAAUUUUCUUUUGGUUCCAUGAACGUUUCUAAGAACUAUGUCUUUACACGUUUAAGGUAUCGAUUUUUACUAGACGUGAUCAUUAUAUCUUAUCUCGGCCUUAAUUUGUGAUU